GCUUUGCUGGAGAACCGAGUCCAGUAAUGAACAACCGCAAUCCUCUCUGCCAGCGUCAGAUCGAAUUUUAGGGUUUUUCUCAUGAUUUCUUCUCCGCCGUUCGAGUGAUUGUGUUGCUGAAGUCGAUGUGAUGAAUUCGUUUCUAGAGUUUUGAUUGCGUCGUUUGAGAUUCUUUUCCAUCUAUAAAAAUGUCUCAGUUACAGAUUCGUGGCGUUUGAUCCCUUCAUAACUACAUCAACCACGAUCAAGCUUUCAAUGUGAUUUUCUCUUCUGCAAGGCGGUGUAUCUGCCAGUAUAAAUAGAUUGUUGCGAUUCGGAGAGGCCAUGAAUGUAAAGCGCAGUGGGGAACUCAUGUGGUUUGAUACGUUCUUACUGGAUUCAAAAGCAGAUAGAGGAUCGUUGGCUUUGCGGCUGUGCCUACACAAAAGACGCGAUCGACAUCAAAAUUCAUGAGUUUGACGUUACAAAGAUGGAGCAAUGUUGCGUAUACAUGAUGCUCCAGAAACGAAGGUGCUGCAUAUUCUGAGAAAGUUGAUAUCAGUCUUCCGGAUCGACACCAUUGAUGGUUGCUGGCUCAUGGCACCGGAACUGGCUCGAGGAAAUAUUGAACCCAACCACUGAUCAGCCACAAGGCCAUCCAGUCCCUUAUCCUUUCUUCUGUCUUCCUAGUAUGAAGCUGGCGAGGAAAUGAUUAUCUAACUCCAUGUUGUGACCCUUUCCCUGUCCGUAUGGAAUGAAAAUGCACCGUAGCUUCUGGGCACAUCACGAUGCCACCAUUUUGUGCAAUGUUGGUUUGCAAGUUUCCACCUGCUGCAAAUUUGACCACUCCAUGAGCUCUUCUUCUUCACUAAGCUACGGAUCGUCCGUUUCUUCACUCACUGACAUGCCCCUCCCGCCUUUGAGUCAUCAUCAUCAUCAUCAUCAUCAUCAUCAUCAUCAUCAUCAUCAUCCUGAAUGAAAAUGCAGAGAGCUUCACUCUUUGAGCUCCAUUUAACUCAAAACCACAACAAAUGGUGACUUUGAACUGUUGCAGCUGAAGUCUCUCCGGCUUCUUCUAUGACCACCGGUGUGAGCUAUUCCAAUCCUGUUGAGAGCCUGAGACCAAAAAAAUGACUCAGCUAGCAUUGAGUUUAAGACUACAAAUUGAAGACACAAAACUCAAAGGAGAGAACAUCACUCUAUUCCUCUUCUAUUGCUAUCUGUAUGUAUCUUUUUUUUUUAUCAAACUUCCAUGAUCUCAUGAACAUGAAGGAUGUGUGGGACCAAGUAAGAGAGAUGAACCACAACACUUCUUCUCUCUUUUUUAUAUGUGAAAGAGAGAAAUUAAAAGCU